rnacentral:lncRNA from 1 species
UAUGAAAUUAAUCAGUAAAGAAUCCUGUAUUUUAUCAAACAAUUAGAUAAAGGUUUGAUCCAUACAAUAUGAAUGGUAGAUUGCAGUGAGUAGCAAAUAUGACAAUUGAUCAGUAGUGUCCAAUUAUUUAUCAAUUAACAACAAUGCAGCCAUGACAAUUACAUAUAUCAUCAACGGUUAUAAUCAUACAUAAACGGUAAUUCAAAUUUAGAAGUUAGAACGGUCUCAC